UGUACCUGUCCCUAUACGGUUAACGUAUAUGUGUGACGGUUUGUAUAUCUAUCAUCCUUCUAGAUUCUAUUAUUGUGGAUAAUUCAUUUUAUUCACGGUAAUAUUACAGGAUCUAGAUGUUUUACUUUGAAAAAAUUAGAGUGUUUCAAGCAGGCAUUUAUGCUAUGAAUACAUUAGCAUGGAAUAAUAAUCUAGGACUUCGGUUCUAUUUUGUUGGUUUCUAUAACUGAAGUAAUGAUUGAUAGGGAUAGUUGGGGGUGCUAGUAUUGGCCGGCCAGAGGUGAAAUUCUUGGAUUCGGUCAAGACUAACUUAUGCGAAAGCAUU
rnacentral:rRNA from 1 species